ACCUGGGUGGCUCAGUUGGUUGAGUAUCUGACUUUGGCUCAGAUCAUGAUCUUGUGGUCUGUGAGUUCAAGCCCCGCAUCAGGCU
rnacentral:tRNA from 1 species